GAUGAACGCUAGCUACAGGCUUAACACAUGCAAGUCGAGGGGCAGCAUGACGAUAGCUUGCUAUUGUCGAUGGCGACCGGCGCACGGGUGAGUAACGCGUAUCCAACCUUCCCGUUGCUAGGGGAUAACCUUGCGAAAGUAAGACUAAUACCCUAUGAAGUUCUUCGCAGGCAUCUAAAGAGAACGAAAGAUUUAUCGGCAACGGAUGGGGAUGCGUCUGAUUAGGUUGUUGGCGGGGUAACGGCCCACCAAGGCAACGAUCAGUAGGGGUUCUGAGAGGAAGGUCCCCCACAUUGGAACUGAGACACGGUCCAAAACUCCUACGGGAGGCAGCAGUGAGGAAUAUUGGUCAAGUGGGCGAGAGCCUGAACCAGCCAAGUAGCGUGCAGGACGACGGCCCUAUGGGUUGUAAAC
rnacentral:rRNA from 1 species